GCGGAGCUAAACUAUAAUUACACAUUUUUCUAUUUCAUUUUCAACAUGUGUGGGCAAACACAGAAAGAUGAAAAUAUAUCCACAGUUUUAGAUAAAUGUGUGACUAAUUAUGUCCCAUUAAUUGCUUAAUUCUGGGUUUACCAACAACAGAUGGAAGUGGGUUUGGUGGUGGGGGGCGUCGAAGGCAAGUAACACCCACAGCCCCAUCAGAAUAUUACUUGUCCCAAACUGAGGCUAGUAACUAAUUGCAAGCCUGUUUGA
rnacentral:lncRNA from 1 species